rnacentral:hammerhead_ribozyme from 1 species
GCUGAAGAGUCCUAGAUAGGACGAAACGCGCGUCC